AUUGAACGCUGGCGGCAUGCUUUACACAUGCAAGUCGAACGGCAGCGCGGGCUUCGGCCUGGCGGCGAGUGGCGAACGGGUGAGUAAUACAUCGGAACGUGCCCAGUAGUGGGGGAUAGCUCGGCGAAAGCCGGAUUAAUACCGCAUACGACCUGAGGGUGAAAGCGGGGGAUCUUCGGACCUCGCGCUAUUGGAGCGGCCGAUGGCAGAUUAGCUAGUUGGUGGGGUAAAGGCCUACCAAGGCGACGAUCUGUAGCUGGUCUGAGAGGACGACCAGCCACACUGGGACUGAGACACGGCCCAGACUCCUACGGGAGGCAGCAGUGGGGAAUUUUGGACAAUGGGCGAAAGCCUGAUCCAGCAAUGCCGCGUGUGUGAUGAAGGCCUUCGGGUUGUAAAGUACUUUUGGCGGGAACGAAAAGGACUGUGCCAAUACCACGGUUCGAUGACGGUACCCGCAGAAUAAGCACCGGCUAACUACGUG
rnacentral:rRNA from 1 species